AACGAACGCUGGCGGCAUGCCUAACACAUGCAAGUCGAACGAGACCUUCGGGUCUAUUGGCGCACGGGUGCGUAACGCGUGGGAACCUUCCCUUAUGGUCGGAAUAACUCCCCGAAAGGGGUGCUAAUACCGGAUAAUGUCUUCUGACCAAAGAUUUAUCGCCUUUGGAUGUGCCCGCGUUGGAUUAGCUUGUUGGUAGGGUAAAAGCCUACCAAGGCGACGAUCCAUAGCUGGUCUGAGAGGAUGAUCAGCCACACUGGGACUGAGACACGGCCCAGACUCCUACGGGAGGCAGCAGUGGGGAAUAUUGGAAAAUGGGCGAAAGCAUGAUCCAGCAAUGCCGCGUGAGUGAUGAAGGCAUUAGGGUUGUAAAGCUCUUUUACCCGGGAUGAUAAUGACGGUACCGGGAGAAUAAGCUCCGGCUAACUCCGUG
rnacentral:rRNA from 1 species